UACAGAGGUCUCAAGCGUUGUUCGGAUUCAUUGGGCGUAAAGGGUGUGUAGGUGGCGCGCUAAGUCGGGUGUGAAAUUUCGGAGCUUAACUCCGAAACUGCAUUCGAUACUGGCGUGCUUGAGGACUGGAGAGGAGACUGGAAUUCAUGGUGUAGCAGUGAAAUACGUAGAGAUCAUGAGGAAGACCAGUGGCGAAGGCGGGUCUCUGGACAGUUCCUGACACUGAGACACGAAGGCCAGGGGAGCAAACGGG
rnacentral:rRNA from 1 species